UCCAUUUCAUCCCGGAUACAAAAAAGACCAACUGCGAAGGCGACAAUGUGCACCGACCACCGGAGCAAUCGCCCGGGCCGGGGUUUGCGAGGUGCUGCGGCGCAAGCGCAGCGCCCGCGUAUUUGCGCGACUGGGGUGACCGGCGGCGGCUGGGGAACCUGCGGUCGUUCGCGAGGCUGUCGCCUAUCGGUCCAUCGCCGGUGGUUCACCCGUGCCCGCCAACUGUUCGUUCUUUUGCCCAGAAGGAAGAUGACCUGAUAAGGCGAUAAACAAUGAAAAAGGGCACGCGCAAGCAUUUGCUGAUGAAUGUAGUACUGGGGACGGGGGAAGGUCCAAUGCCACCGAUCACGCAGACAGGAAAUACGACAGGAGCGAAGGACAUCCGAUCCAAAUUGGCCACGGCGGAGGGAGACGAGCCAUCAAAUCUGGGGCCGACCACCGGCGGAUCGAUCUCGAUGGGCAUCUCGGUGGCGGUGGAUGCCGCCAACCGCCUACUGACGUGCAUGCACCGCAGGCCCCUAGUCCUUGCGCCGUCUCUAUGCGUGUAACCACCAUGGCACCAUGGAUGAGGGGCCUAUCGACGCAGCACGCGUGCUAUCAUGCAUGUGAGUCAGUAGGCGGCCGGAAACUUACGAUUCGAUCGGCUGGUGUUGGUGUGUGUGGUGGUGAGCGUCUGCAGUCUGCUGCCCUGCCGCCGUUGGUCCUCGGAGGUAGAAGAUGGUGAAUCCUAACCCCGAAACUACGAUGAGUUUCUACCUUUUAUUGUAUUGUGUCUUUAUUAUUUCUGCAGGAAGGUGAUACCAAUAUGCCAUGUAUAGCAGCAACGUUGAUCCGAACGCAA